rnacentral:rRNA from 1 species
CCUACGGGGCGCAGCAGUGGGGAAUAUUGCGCAAUGGGGGAAACCCUGACGCAGCAACGCCGCGUGAGUGAAGACGUAUCUCGGUAUGUAAAGCUCUAUCAGCGGGGAAGAAGGAAGACGGUACCCGACUAAGAAGCCCCGGCUAACUACGUGCCAGCAGCCGCGGUAAUACGUAGGGGGCGAGCGUUAUCCGGAUUUACUGGGUGUAAAGGGAGCGUAGACGGCGUCGCAAGUCUGAAGUGAAAGCCCGUGGCUCAACCGCGGAACCGCUUUGGAAACUGCGUGGCUGGAGUGCUGGAGAGGUA